rnacentral:misc_RNA from 1 species
UUUCCGUAGGUGAACCUGCGGAAGGAUCAUUAUUGUAUAACCAAGGUGCGAGGGCAUUCGGUAACCCGACAGGUCGUUUACGCCCGAGUGCGCUCCCACCCCUCCCUCUCACCCCUGUGUGCACCACCGAGUGGCUACCCCUUUUGCUAUUUCGGAGGCGGGCUUACGUUUUCACACAAACUUUGUACGCAAUGUUGAAUGUCUUUUUUGUUUUUGCGAUCACGCAAUCAAUACACCUCUCAUCGAAGGAUCUCUUGGCUCUCGCAUCGAUGAAGAACA